GACGAACGCUGGCGGCGUGCUUAACACAUGCAAGUCGAGCGGUAAGGCCCUUCGGGGUACACGAGCGGCGAACGGGUGAGUAACACGUGGGUGACCUGCCCUUAGCUCUGGGAUAAGCCUGGGAAACUGGGUCUAAUACCGGAUAUGACCUCAUGACGCAUGUUGUGGGGUGGAAAGCCUUGUGCGGCUAGGGAUGGGCCCGCGGCCUAUCAGCUUGUUGGUGGGGUGAUGGCCACCAAGGCGACGACGGGUAGCCGGCCUGAGAGGGCGACCGGCCACACUGGGACUGAGACACGGCCCAGACUCCUACGGGAGGCAGCAGUGGGGAAUUUUGCGCAAUGGGGGAAACCCUGACGCAGCAACGCCGCGUGGAGGAUGAAGUCCCGUUGGACGUAAACUCCUUUCGAUCGGGACGAUAAUGACGGUACCGA
rnacentral:rRNA from 1 species